GAUGAAGAACGUAGCGAAAUGCGAUAAGUAGUGUGAAUUGCAGAAUUCAGUGAAUCAUCGAAUCUUUGAACGCACAUUGCGCCCUUUGGUAUUCCUUAGGGCAUGCCUGUUCGAGCGUCAUUUAAACCUUCAAGCUAAGCUUGGUGUUGGGUGACUGUCCGCUUCACGGCGGACUCGCCUCAAAAUUAUUGGCGGCCGGUACAUUGGCUUCGAGCGCAGCAGAAACGCGAACUCGGGCCCGUCGUAUUGGCUCCCAGAAGCUAUCUUCACAAUUUUGACCUCGGAUCAGGUAGGGAUACCCGCUGAACUUAAGCAUAUCAAUAAGAGAGGA
rnacentral:misc_RNA from 1 species